CAUCACGUGGGCGCCCCCUCUGUGACGUCGGCGUCUUCGCUGUAGCAAAGCUCGGCCUCUGGAAUUCUGAGAACUAAUUUGCUAUUCGGUGACAUAAGAGGGGGAGUGCGCUUUGCUUUCCCGGGGUCUAGGGCUAAUUCCUCGUCUCUUACCGUUAAACUCGGCUCCUCGAGCUAAAUAACACAAAAGGGAGCGAGAGGUUCGACCCGUUGGAAAAAGUCUGUUCUGUAUAGUAGCUUUAGAGGCGAGUAAGAGAAAAAAAAAAAAAAAACAAUAAACACCACAGCUCUUUCCAGCUAGAAUAUUAGGCACCACGAGAAAAAUAUUUGCCAAGCAAUUUUCGCUUCUCCUGGAAGGAGAACAUAGAGUGGGCAGCCCUGCAAAACAGCCGUUUGCUGUGGCCUUACAUUCAGAGAAGACCGAGGAUUUGGACCGGUGACGUGCUCUCCACCAGCGUUCUGUUCAGUCCCAGGGGCACACUGGCAGGAUGGAGAGAAGACGGUCCUGCACAAGUUUUGGGUGCGGGUCGCACUGCAGGACGCCAGAUAGGAGCCCUAACAGUCUCCCACAGUGCUGUGAUUUCGUGUCAUUACUAAAUCUCGGAUUGUCUUACGGAUAGCGCAGUUGUGUUGUGAUUGGUCUAUUUAUGAGGAAAACAUCACACACAUUCAAGUAGAAGGGCAUCCUACCAAAUGCUUGACCAGCACUCCUUGAAACUGUCAAGGUCAUAAAAAACAAAGUCUGACAAGUUGCCACAACCAGGAGAAGCCUAAGGAGAUGUGAUAACUUCAUGUCAAUAAGUAUCUAACAGAAUAAAAGAGAAGGUAAAUCUAAACAAAUCUGAAUACAUGAUGGACUUUAGUUAAUGCUAUUGUGUGAAUAUUGUUUCAUCAAUUGUUAUGAAUGUACCAUGCUAAGAUGAAAUGUUAAUAAUGGGUAUAAUUGGAUACAGGGUUGCUCUCCAUAUUAUAUUUUCAAUUUUUCUAUUAAAAAAACCA